UACUUCUCUCAAGACUUCUCUCUUUUCUCUCACUAUGUUAUAUGUUUUCCAUGUAGAAUUGAUGUAUUUCAUCACUUCAAAUCGGUUCUUCUUCAACGUUGGUCGAUAGCUCUUCAUCAUUAUCUUUGUACAGGAAACAUGGGAUUGUGAAAUAGCUAUUACAAAUUACUGCAAAUACUUCAGGAUCCCCUUAUGCACAACUCCAGCACAACACUGUGGUUGUUGAAUUAGGAUAUGCCUAUGAUGUACUUGAAGAUAUGAGCAGUUAUGAUUUGAGUAUGUUAUGUCUAUUGAAGAGGGGUAUAAUGAGAAUGUCGCAUUCGGUGUUGAGGAUUUGAUGCACAACAACCCUGCAAUGAAAAAGAGACGUAUCAUUCAAGACCGCCUCAUGGCUGAAAUGUUUGCGGGCAAAAAACACUCAUCCAUGAAUUCGACUUACAUUGUUGGGGAAGUUAGAUGGACUAUGACUGGAGUUCAAGUGCAGUAAAGGAAAAGACUGAGAAAAUAUUAAUUAGUGGGAGGUACGCAAUAUGUAUUUUUAUAUUCAUUUUUUGUAUAAGGUUAUAUCAUAUGUUUCAAGUAUUUAGUUUGCUUAUACUUUAGGACUCUGUAUACAUCUUUUGAUUGUAAAUAAUAAUUUUCUCUACUUUUUGUGUAUUUGAUGUAUACUCAUUCAAAAGAGAGAGUUCAUAUAUUUUUAAAGAAGAGACUCAACUGGACCAUGUGCCGUCGUAUUUUUCAUUGCUUAGGAGAAAACGAAAUAUUCUUAUUAUAUUUCUAGGAAAAGCACAACUGAUUGGUUGGGACCUUAUAAGAUGUUGUUCUUGAUAAUUUUGAGAAGACAUAGGAUAUAUAUUUGUAUCUGGCGUAAAAC